rnacentral:rRNA from 1 species
AGGCAGCAGUGGGGAAUAUUGCACAAUGGGCGNAAGCCUGAUGCAGCAACGCCGCGUGAGGGAUGACGGCCUUCGGGUUGUAAACCUCUUUUAGCAGGGAAGAAGCGUAAGUGACGGUACCUGCAGAAAAAGCGCCGGCUAACUACGUGCCAGCAGCCGCGGUAAUACGUAGGGCGCAAGCGUUAUCCGGAAUUAUUGGGCGUAAAGAGCUCGUAGGCGGUUUGUCGCGUCUGCUGUGAAAUCCCGAGGCUCAACCUCGGGCCUGCAGUGGGUACGGGCAGACUAGAGUGCGGUAGGGGAGAUUGGAAUUCCUGGUGUAGCGGUGGAAUGCGCAGAUAUCAGGAGGAACACCGAUGGCGAAGGCAGAUCUCUGGGCCGUAACUGACGCUGAGGAGCGAAAGGGUGGGGAGCAAACAGGCUUAGAUACCCUGGUAGUCCACCCCGUAAACGUUGGGAACUAGUUGUGGGGACCAUUCCACGGUUUCCGUGACGCAGCUAACGCAUUAAGUUCCCCGCCUGGGGAGUACGGCCGCAAGGCUAAAACUCAAAUGAAUUGACGGACC